GUCAUUUGCCUUCUGCAUACAAGAAAACUGAGGACUAAGGAUAUUAUGAGAUCUGCCAAGGGUAGUUUUGAUAUAUACAGUUGUGAUAUUAUAAAUAAAUAAAUAUAUAUAUUUAUUUUUAUAUAUAUAGGUUUUCAUCCACGGUUCCUGGCUCAUAACUCCUGCAGCCCUUGGUGUAGUCUUUUGUUAUAAUGUUGGGGUGCUUUAGGCCUCAGGAGCAGGCCUCAGGAAACAGAAUCUCUCUCUCUAACCUUCUUCUGUCCUCCUUUUACCUGCCCAAGGGAGGCCUCUAAUAUGAUUGCCGGUUAAAAGACCCUCAUUCCAGAAAGGGUCCCUCCCCAUAUUCUGAAAGAAAAAAUGCUGCACAAGAAGCCAGGAAGAAUCUGGACAGACAGGCCUUGCUGGGUUUCCCACUCAUGAGAUCAUGUUCUUUUGUCCAAUCACAUUUCUACACAGGGUCAAUAGUGCCUAUGUAAUGAAGCCUCCAUAAAAACCCAAAAGGACAGCACUUAGAGAGCUUCCAGAUAGCCGAACAUAUGGGUGCUCCUGGAAGGUAGAGUGCCCAGGAAGGACAUGGAGACUCUCUACUCCUUCCCCCAUACCUUGCCCUACACAUCUCUUCAUUGGCACGGUGGCUCACGCCUGUAAUCGCAGCACUUUGGGAGACCAAAGCAGAUGAAUCACCUGAGGUCAAGAGUUCAAGACCAGCCUGGCCAACACGAAAGAAGCUCUCACAGUGGAAGACUAUAAUAUGACAUAAGAAGAAAUGUGGACUUGGAGAUACAGAAGCUCCACACUGAAGAGAAAAACCAACAUCCUACAAUGAUGGGGUUUUUUUUAAAGACACCCAAGAAGCCACCUGAAGAAUCAGAACAGGGAUGGAACUCAUCCAAACUCCACUUCCCCGAGAAAAUCAUCACAAUUUGACUUAUCUGGCAUUUCCCUGGAAAAACUCACACAAAGGGUACUCUUUUUGUGUGUAUGUAUGUUUUGUUUUGUUUUGUUUUGAGACAAGAUCUCGUUCUGUCACCCAUGCUGGAGUGCAGUGGUGCUAUAACAGCUCACUACAGCCUCCAACCUCCAGGACUUAAGCAAUCCUUCCACCUCAGCUUCCUGAGUAGCUGGGACUACACACAGCCAUGCACCACCACACCCAGCUAAUUUUUGUAUUUUUCUGUAGAGAUGGUGGGGGAAGGGGGAUCUCCCUAUGUUGUCCAGGCUGGUCUUGAACUCCUGGGCUCAAGUGAUCCACCUACCUGAGCCUCCCAAAGUGCUGGGAUUAUAAGCAUGAGCCACAGUGCCUGCCCCUCAUCCUACUUUUUUUUUUGCAACAGGGUCUCACUCUGUCAACCCAGACUGGAGUGCAGUGGUGUCAUAAGGACUUUCUUGACCUUACUUGGAAAUCACUUGCUUAAAACAGCCUCUUCACACUCCCCACUGCACCCACCCACCAUCACUAUGUGUGCUUGUCAAAAACAAUCAGAAGCAAUUGUUUAAACACUAUAACUGCUUAAGGUGGCAAUAACAGAAUGGGG
rnacentral:lncRNA from 1 species